rnacentral:rRNA from 1 species
CCUAAGUGGUAACUGAGUGGGAAAGGAUGUGGAGUUGCGUAGACAACCAGGAGGUUGGCUUGGAAGCAGCCAUCCUUGAAAGAGUGCGUAAUAGCUCACUGGUCAAGUGAUUCCGCGCCGAUAAUGUAGCGGGGCUUAAGUUAUCCGCCGAAGCUGUGGCAACCUGUGUGGUUGGGUAGGGGAGCGUCGUGUCAGUGGUGAAGCUGCCGGGUGACUGUGUGGUGGAGUUGAUGCGAGUGAGAAUGCAGGCAUGAGUAGCGAAUGACAUGUGGGAAACAUGUCCUCC